rnacentral:rRNA from 1 species
UACGGAGGAUCCUAGUGUUAUCCGGAUUUAUUGGGUUUAAAGGGAGCGUAGGCGGGAGGUCAAGUCAGCUGUGAAAUGUAUCUGCUUAACGGGUACACUGCAGUUGAAACUGGUUUUCUUGAGUGCGUAAGAGGCAGGCGGAAUUCGUUGUGUAGCGGUGAAAUGCUUAGAUAUGACGAGGAACUCCUAUUGCGAAGGCAGCUUGCUGGGUCGUUACUGACGCUGAUGCUCGAAGGUGCGGGGAUCAAACAGGAUUAGAUACCCCGGUA